AUGGAUUUAAUAAAAAAAAAAAAAAAAUCUGUUCUUAUCAGUUUAAUAUCUGAUACGUCCCCCAUCCGGGGACUACAUAUUAAAUGGAUUUUUAGAUCACGGAGCUGGAGCCGGGGCUUGCUCCGUCCACUCCAUGCAUCGGCCUGGUAUUGCAGUGUCUCCAGGAACGGUGUGCUUUCC
rnacentral:snRNA from 1 species